GUUAGCAGGAUAGCUCCUGGAGAUACAGCAUUUAUGUAGAAGAUAUAUGUAUUUUCUAUUUUCCUUUAGAAAAUCCAACAGUAUUAAGAGGUUAGUUUGAAAAUGAGUGGGAUUUUAUGCAGAGUAGCUUGUAAGUCAGCGUACUCUUUUGAAGAUAUAAGGAGAACUCAUGUGGUUUCUCAUAUCUCCCCCAAGCAAAUGCAGAACAACCAUGAUUUAUUCAUAAAUUUGUGCCCUUACCGAAUGUGUGAGAUGCACAUACCAUCCAGUCACAAGACAUGAUCAUGACCUCACAGGCUAAGGAAAGGGAUAAGCCUACAGUGGCUGACCCAGUGCACUCCAGGGUCUUCAAGAAAAGUCAGCAACAGAAAGCUAUGUGUUCGUGAGGAAGAUUCUUAAACUUCUCUAAUUGAACUACUGUGAAAAUAGAAGGAAAACUAUAAUGCAAGAAACAUUGAAAGAACUUAUUAAAAUGGAGCCAGGAAGUGACUAUGGAAGCAGGGACUACACACAGUUCCAGCUGCCUGGAAAUACGACUUUUGAUCACCUCCAGCCUUGAUCACAGACACCUGGAAGAACCAGAAGAAUGAAAAGUUGCAUUAAGAUGUAGGCUUAUCUCUUUCCUUAGCCAGGGGUUUAAGAUGACUAUCAAGAGGUUAGUAGAUUCUUGUUUUAUGAACAUUUCUACAUUUUUAUUAUAUUUAUUCAUGUAUAUUAAUUGUAUAAAUUAAUGGGGUUCACUCUGACUUUUUCAUAUGUGGACAUUUCUAUUCUAUUUAUACCUUCUUUUCUUUAUUUUCUAUAAGUCUUGUGGCCCCUUUUCCUUCUCAGUAUUUAAUAUCUCAUAUAAAUUCCCUUUUCCUGCCCUACUCAGAACAGGUUCAGAGUUCUAUCUCCUUCGAACCCAAGUGUUCUGAACCGCAACUACCAUUUCCCCCAAUAAAAUCAGUUUUAAGUUUUCAAUUCAUGAGUCUGGAUUGAUCAAUAUUUUAAGUUGUCCAUUGUAGGAUCCAAAGUGAGCUGUACUGGCUGUGCUGUAUGAACAUGAGAUUGUUCAACUCACGAGUCUUUUCAUAAUGGAAAAAAGGUCAAACAAAAUGCCACAACAUUCUGUAGAACCGCCUUCAUGGAGAAGGAGGAGCUCUGUGAAAUCAUGACUAUAGAGGAAAAGUGGACGGCCCAUUGCUGGACACUAGUAGACCACUUUGGAGAAACCAAGACAUAAUACGACAACCA